rnacentral:lncRNA from 15 species
UUAUUGUUUUUAAGUAAUGGAGUGUUUGUGUUUUUUCUGUUUUUUCCNNNNNNNNNNNNNNNNNNNNNNNNNNNNNNNNNNNNNNNNNNNNNNNNNNNNNNNNNNNNNNNNNNNNNNNNNNNNNNNNNNNNNNNNNNNNNNNNNNNNACCUGCUCCACGACAACACCUGCUCAGACUACAACAACGGCAGCAACGACAACUGGUAGUCCAACAACAAUCACUGCUGCAACAACACCUGCUCCGACUACAACCACUGCUGCAACAACGACAGCUGCUCCAACUACAACCACUGCUGCAACAACAACAGCAGCAACAACAACUGUUGCUCCAACAACAACAACCACUGCUGCAACAACAACACCUGCUCCGACUACAACAACGGCAGCAACGACAACAGGUGCUCCAACCACAACCACUGCUGCAACGACAACAGGUGCGCCGACUACAACAACGGCAGCAACGAAGGCUACUGGUCCAACAACAACCACUCCUGCAACGACAACAGCUGCUCAGACUACAACAAUCACACUAACCACAACCACUGCUGCAACUACGACAGCUGCUCCAACUACAACCACUGCUGCAAAAACAACAACAGCAGCAACAAUAACUGCUGCUCCAACAACAACAACCACUGCUGCAACGACAACACCUGCUCCGACUACAACAACGGCAGCAUCGACAACAGGUGCUUCAACCACAACCACAGCUGCAACAACAACACCUUCUCCGACUACAACCACUGCUGCAACAACGACAGCUGCUCCGACUACAACCACUGCUGCAAAAACGACAGCUGCUCCAACUACAACCACUGCUGCAACAAGGACAGCUGCUCCAACUACAACACCUGCUCCAACGACAACUGCUGGUCGAACGACAACCACUGCUGCAACAACAACACCUGCUCCGACUACAACCACUGUUGCAACAACGACAGCUGCUCCAACUAGAACCACUGCUGCAACAACAACAGCGGCAACAACAACUGCUGCUCCAACAACAACAAACACUGCUGCAACAACAACACCUGCUCCGCCUGCAACAACGGCAGCAACGACAACAGGUGCUUCAACCACAACCACAGCUGCAACAACAACACCUUCUCCGACUACAACCACUGCUGCAACAACGACAGCUGCUCCGACUACAACCACUGCUGCAACAAGGACAGCUGCUUCAACUACAACCACUGCUGCAACAACAACAGCAGCAACAACAACUGCUGCUCCAACAACAACAACCACUGCUGCAACAACAACACCUGCUCCGACUAAAACCACUGCUGCAACAACGACAGCUGCUCCAACUACAACCACUGCUGCAAAAACAACAACAGCAGCAACAAGAACUGCUGCUCCAACAACAACAACCACUGCUGCAACGACAACACCUGCUCCAACUACAACAACGGCAGCAACGACAACUGCUGGUCCAACAACAACCACUGCUGCAACAACAACACCUGCUCUGACUACAACCACUGCUGCAACAACGACAGCUGCUCCAACUACAACCCCUGCUGCAAAAACAACAACAGCAGCAACAACAACUGCUGCAACAACGACAGGUGCUCCGACUACAACCACUGCUGCAAAAACGACAGCUGCUCCAACUACAACCACUGCUGCAACAACAACACCUUCACCGACUACAACCACUGCUGCAACAACGACAGCUGCUCCAACUACAACACCUGCUCCAACGACAACACCUGCUCAGACUACAACAACGGCAGGAACGACAACUGCUGGUCCAACAACAACCACUGCUGCAACAACACCUGCUCCGACUACAACCACUGCUGCAACAACAACAGCAGCAACAACAACUGCUGCUCCAACAACAACAACCACUGCUGCAACAACAACACCUGCUCCGACUACAACAACGGCAGCAACAACAACAGGUGCUCCAACCACAACCACUGCUGCAACGACAACAGGUGCACCGACUACAACAACGGCAGCAACGAAAGCUACUGGUCCAACAACAACCACUCCUGCAACGACAACAGCUGCUCAGACUACAACAAUCACACUAACCACACCACUGCUGCAACUACGACAGCUGCUCCAACUACAACCACUGCUGCAACAACAACAGCUGGUCCAACAACAACGGUAG